rnacentral:rRNA from 1 species
AGUGAACGCUGGCGGUAGGCCUAACACAUGCAAGACGAACGGCAGCACAGUAAGAGCUUGCUCUUACGGGUGGCGAGUGGCGGACGGGUGAGGAAUACAUCGGAAUCUACUUUUUCGUGGGGGAUAACGUAGGGAAACUUACGCUAAUACCGCAUACGACCUACGGGUGAAAGCAGGGGAUCUUCGGACCUUGCGCGAUUGAAUGAGCCGAUGUCGGAUUAGCUAGUUGGCGGGGUAAAGGCCCACCAAGGCGACGAUCCGUAGCUGGUCUGAGAGGAUGAUCAGCCACACUGGAACUGAGACACGGUCCAGACUCCUACGGGAGGCAGCAGUGGGGAAUAUUGGAUAAUGGGCGCAAGCCUGAUCCAGCCAUACCGCGUGGGUGAAGAAGGCCUUCGGGUUGUAAAGCCCUUUUGUUGGGAAAGAAAAGCAGCAGGUUAAUACCCCGCUGUUCUGACAGUACCCAAAGAAUAAGCACCGGCUAACUUCGUG